ensembl:miRNA tgu-mir-2956-1 tgu-mir-2956-2
AAGUAGGAAUAAGUAGGAAACCAGGCUUUAUUAGUUUAUAAUCAGAACUAAUAAAGCCUGGUUUCCUAUUUAUUCCCACUU